AGCGAACGCUGGCGGCAGGCCUAACACAUGCAAGUCGGACGAAGUCUUCGGACUUAGCGGCGGACGGGUGAGUAACACGUGGGAACGUGCCUUUAGGUUCGGAAUAACUCAGGGAAACUUGUGCUAAUACCGAAUGUGCCCUUCGGGGGAAAGAUUUAUCGCCUUUAGAGCGGCCCGCGUCUGAUUAGCUAGUUGGUGAGGUAAAGGCUCACCAAGGCUACGAUCAGUAGCUGGUCUGAGAGGAUGACCAGCCACAUUGGGACUGAGACACGGCCCAAACUCCUACGGGAGGCAGCAGUGGGGAAUCUUGCGCAAUGGGCGAAAGCCUGACGCAGCCAUGCCGCGUGGAUGAUGAAGGUCUUAGGAUUGUAAAAUCCUUUCACCGGUGAAGAUAAUGACUGUAGCCGGAGAAGAAGCCCCGGCUAACUUCGUGCCAGCCGCCGCAGUAAUAC
rnacentral:rRNA from 1 species